AGGAUACCUUUCCUUGAAUAUAACAUAAUGAUAUCUUUGGCUUUCUAGCAUUUUGUGACUUCCUUACUCUCUCAUCAUACUACAUUAAAGCUCCACAAUAUUCACAUGGCCAUGUUUGAUCUUUGAUAUCCCAAUAAUCUAUAAUGAAUAAAAUAAGCGAUGUGAUAAUAAGUGUGACUUUCUAACAUGGAAAGUCGGAAAGUGUAAUUUUUUUUUAUAAAUUUUGAUCAUAUACACUUUCAAUAUUUGACUUUCUGAUACUAGUAUUAACCAUAUUCAGAGAACUCAUUCCUG
rnacentral:lncRNA from 1 species